rnacentral:rRNA from 1 species
CUUGCAAACUUUGAUGGCGACCGGCGCACGGGUGAGUAACGCGUAUCCAACCUUCCCCUUAGUAGGGCAUAGCCCGGCGAAAGUCGGAUUAAUACCCUAUGUUCUUCGUAGAUGACAUCUGAAAUGAAGCAAAGGUUUACCGCUAAGGGAUGGGGAUGCGUCUGAUUAGGUAGUCGGCGGGGUAACGGCCCACCGAGCCUGCGAUCAGUAGGGUUCUGAGAGGAAGGUCCCCCACACUGGUACUGAGACACGGACCAGACUCCUACGGGAGGCAGCAGUGAGGAAUAUUGGUCAAUGGGCGUAAGCCUGAACCAGCCAAGUAGCGUGCAGGAAGACUGCCCUAUGGGUUGUAAACUGCUUUUAUGCGGGGAUAAAGUGAGGGACGUGUCCCUUUUUGCAGGUACCGCAUGAAUAAGGACCGGCUAAUUCCGUGCCAGCCGCCGC